AGCUCCGGCGGCUUAGUGGUCAGAGAGUCCGCCUCGGAUGCGGAAGGUCGCGGGUUCGAACCCCGGCCGAGUCA